CACCAAGACGACGACGGGUAGCCGGCCUGAGAGGGCGACCGGCCACACUGGGACUGAGACCGGCCCAGACUCCUACGGGAGGCAGCAGUGGGGAAUAUUGCACAAUGGGGGAAACCCUGAUGCAGCGACGCAGCGUGCGGGAUGACGGCCUUCGGGUUGUAAACCGCUUUCAGCAGGGAAGAAGCGCAAGUGACGGUACCUGCAGAAGAAGUACCGGCUAACUACGUGCCAGCAGCCGCGGUAAUACGUAGGGUACGAGCGUUGUCCGGAAUUAUUGGGCGUAAAGAGCUCGUAGGUGGUUGGUCACGUCUGCUGUGGAAACGCAACGCUUAACGUUGCGCGUGCAGUGGGUACGGGCUGACUAGAGUGCAGUAGGGGAGUCUGGAAUUCCUGGUGUAGCGGUGAAAUGCGCAGAUAUCAGGAGGAACACCGGUGGCGAAGGCGGGACUCUGGGCUGUAACUGACACUGAGGAGCGAAAGCAUGGGGAGCGAACAGGAUUAGAUACCCUGGUAGUCCAUGCCGUAAACGUUGGGCACUAGGUGUGGGGGGCAUUCCACGUUCUCCGCGCCGUAGCUAACGCAUUAAGUGCCCCGCC
rnacentral:rRNA from 1 species